AUCUUCGGCAAUGGGCGAAAGCCUGACCGAGCGACGCCGCGUGUGGGAUGAAGGCCUUCGGGUUGUAAACCACUGUCGUAGAGGAGGAAAUGCAGAGGGGUUCUCCCCUUUGCUUGACCUAUUCUAGGAGGAAGUACGGGCUAAGUUCGUGCCAGCAGCCGCGGUAAGACGAACCGUACAAACGUUACUCGGAAUUACUGGGCUUAAAGGGUGCGUAGGCUGCGCGGAAAGUUGGGUGUGAAAGCCCUCAGCUCAACUGGGGAAUUGCACUCAAAACUACCGUGCUCGAGGGAGACAGAGGUAAGCGGAACUCAAGGUGGAGCGGUGAAAUGCGUUGAUAUCUUGAGGAACACCGGUGGCGAAGGCGGCUUACUGGGUCUUUUCUGACGCUGAGGCACGAAAGCCAAGGUAGCAAACGGGAUUAGAUACCCCGGUAGUCUUGGCUGUAAACGAUGAGCACUUGAUUGAAGGGUCCUCCAUAGCCUUUCAGUCGUAGCGAAAGUGUUAAGUGCUCCGCCUGGGGAGUAUGGUCGCAAGGCUGAAACUCAAAGAAA
rnacentral:rRNA from 1 species